rnacentral:rRNA from 1 species
UCCCUUGUGAAAGUUUUAAUUAUUUUUUUUUUUAUACUUUGAAGAUCCCCCCAAAAAAAAGGUUUGGGUUUCCUGGGCCGGCCCUCCCCCUUUUUCGGCCGCGGGUGUUCCGCCGGGGCAACAUUAGGUAUGUUUCACAGGGGUUUGGGAGUUGUAAACUCGGUAAUGAUCCGGGUUAGUAGUGAACCUGCGGAGGGAUCAUUACCGAGUUUACAACUCCCAAACCCCUGUGAACAUACCUUAUGUUGCCUCGGCGGAUCAGCCCGCGCCCCGUAAAAAGGGACGGCCCGCCGCAGGAACCCUAAACUCUGUUUUUAGUGGAACUUCUGAGUAUAAAAAACAAAUAAAUCAAAACUUUCAACAACGGAUCUCUUGGUUCUGGCAUCGAUGAAGAACGCAGCAAAAUGCGAUAAGUAAUGUGAAUUGCAGAAUUCAGUGAAUCAUCGAAUCUUUGAACGCACAUUGCGCCCGCCAGUAUUCUGGCGGGCAUGCCUGUUCGAGCGUCAUUUCAACCCUCAAGCCCAGCUUGGUGUUGGGAGCUGCAGUCCUGCUGCACUCCCCAAAUACAUUGGCGGUCACGUCGAGCUUCCAUAGCGUAGUAAUUUACACAUCGUUACUGGUAAUCGUCGCGGCCACGCCGUUAAACCCCAACUUCUGAAUGUUGACCUCGGAUCAGGUAGGAAUACCCGCUGAACUUAAGCAUAUCAAAAGGCGGA